rnacentral:rRNA from 1 species
GAUGAACGCUGGCGGCGUGCCUAAUACAUGCAAGUCGAGCGAACAGACGAGGAGCUUGCUCCUCUGACGUUAGCGGCUGACGGGUGAGUAACACGUGGAUCACCUACCUAUAAUACUGGGAUAACUUCGGGAAACCGGUUCUAAUACCGGAUAAUAUAUUCAACCGCAUGGUUCAAUAGUUAUAGACGGUUUUGCUGUCACUUAUAGAUGGAUCCGCGCCGCAUUAGCUAGUUGGUAAGGUAACGGCUUACCAAGGCAACGAUGCGUAGCCGACCUGAGAGGGUGAUCGGCCACACUGGAACUGAGACACGGUCCAGACUCCUACGGGAGGCAGCAGUAGGGAAUCUUCGGCAAUGGGCGAAAGCCUGACGGAGCAACGCCGCGUGAGUGAUGAAGGUCUUCGGAUCGUAAAGCUCUGUUAUUAGGAAAGAAAAAAUGUGUAAGUAACUAUGCACGUCUUGACGGUACCUAAUCAGAAAGCAACGGCUAACUACGUG